AGUGAACGCUGGCGGUAGGCCUAACACAUGCAAGUCGAACGGCAGCACAGGAGAGCUUGCUCUCUGGGUGGCGAGUGGCGGACGGGUGAGGAAUACAUCGGAAUCUACUCUGUCGUGGGGGAUAACGUAGGGAAACUUACGCUAAUACCGCAUACGACCUACGGGUGAAAGCAGGGGAUCUUCGGACCUUGCGCGAUUGAAUGAGCAGAUGUCGGAUUAGCUAGUUGGCGGGGUAAAGGCCCACCAAGGCGACGAUCCGUGGCUGGUCUGAGAGGAUGAUCAGCCACACUGGAACUGAGACACGGUCCAGACUCCUACGGGAGGCAGCAGUGGGGAACAUUGGACAAUGGGCGCAAGCCUGAUCCAGCCAUACCGCGUGGGUGAAGAAGGCCUUCGGGUUGUAAAGCCCUUUUGUUGGGAAAGAAAUCCAGCUGGCUAAUACCCGGUUGGGAUGACGGUACCCAAAGAAUAAGCACCGGCUAACUUCGUGCCAGCCGCCGCAGUAA
rnacentral:rRNA from 1 species